GAUGAACGCUGGCGGCGUGCCUAAUACAUGCAAGUCGAGCGAAAAGACGAGGAGCUUGCUCCUCUGACGUAAGCGGCGGACGGGUGAGUAACACGUGGAUAACCGACCUAUAAGACUGGGAUAAACACGGGAAACAGGAGCUAAUACCGGAUAAUAUAUUGAACCGCAUGGUUCAAUAGCGAAAGACGGUUGUGAUGUCACCUAUAGAAGGAUCCGCGCCGCAUUAGCUAGUUGGGAAGGUAACGGCUUACCAAGGCAACGAUGCGUAGCCGAACCGAGAGGGUGAUCCGCCACCCUAGAUCUGAGACUCGCCCCACACUCCUACGGUGGGCAGCAGUAGGGAAUCUUCCGCAAUGGGCGAAUGCCUGACGUAGCACCGCCGCGUGAGUGAUGAUGGCCUUCCGCUCGUAAAACUCUGUUAUUUGGGAAUAACUAAUGUUUAAGUAACUAUGCACGUCUUGACGGUACCUAAUCAGAAAGCCCCGGCUAACUACGUG
rnacentral:rRNA from 1 species